GUGUGAGAGCCCAAGAUCCCAUUACAGACAGUGGAGAACUCAGGCUCGGCUCAGCUCAGUGCCGUUUGAGAUGCCCUUAUGCAUCCUGUCUGCUUCCCAGUUACCAGGAUUUGUUGUUGGCUAUUCAUGCACCCUGAUUCCCAGAAGAAGCAGCAGUCCCUGGAUGCGAGAAGACACCACCAGCUGACCUUGGACAUUAUCUGUGUACUUAAUGUACCUCACUGCAGUUAUGUCCUAAACAAAGAGCUGACUUAUAAACAUUAAAAAGAUUCUAUGAUAAAUGUUAA